rnacentral:rRNA from 1 species
CCUACGGGAGGCAGCAGUGAGGAAUAUUGGUCAAUGGGCGCGAGCCUGAACCAGCCAAGUCGCGUGAGGGAAGACGGCCCUAUGGAUUGUAAACCUCUUUUGUCGGGGAGUAAAAGACGCCACGUGUGCCGCUUUGCGAGUACCCGAUGAAAAAGCAUCGGCUAACUCCGUGCCAGCAGCCGCGGUAAUACGGAGGAUCCGAGCGUUAUCCGGAUUUAUUGGGUUUAAAGGGUGCGCAGGCGGAAGGUUAAGUCAGCGGUGAAAGUGAGCGGCUCAACCUCUACGAGCCGGUGAAACUGGGUUUCUUGGGUGAGCGAGAAGUAUGGGGAAUGCGUGGGGUAACGGUGGAAUGCA